rnacentral:rRNA from 1 species
GACGAACGCUGGCGGCGUGCUUAACACAUGCAAGUCGAACGGAAAGGCCCUGCUUUUGUGGGGUGCUCGAGUGGCGAACGGGUGAGUAACACUUGAGUACCCUGCCCUUGACUUUGGGAUAACUUCAGGCAACUUGGGCUAAUACCGGCUAGGAGCUCCUGCUUCAUGGUGGGGGUUGGAAAGUUUCGGCGGUUGGGGAUGGACUCGCGGCUUAUCAGCUUGUUGGUGGGGUAGUGGCUUACCAAGGCUUUGACGGGUAGCCGGCCUGAGAGGGUGACCGGGAACAUUGGGACUGAGAUACGGCCAAGACUCCUACGGGAGGCAGAAGUGGGGAAUAGUGCAAAAUGGGCGGAAGCCAGAGGCAGAAACGCCGAGGGCGGGAUGACGACCUUCGGGUUGUAAACCGAUUGCGCCUGUGACGAAGAGGGAGUGAAGGUAAUGGGUAAAGAAGCACCGGCUAACUACGUG